rnacentral:rRNA from 1 species
UAGAUACCCUGGUAGUCCACGCAGUAAACGAUGAAUGUUAGUCGUCGGGAUGCAAGUCAUUUCGGUGAUGCAGUUAACACAUUAAACAUUCCGCCUGGGGAGUACGGUCGCAAGAUUAAAACUCAAAGGAAUAGACGGGGACCCGCACAAGUGGUGGAGCAUGUGGUUUAAUUCGAAGAUACGCGAAGAACCUUACCUAGCCUUGACAUUGAUAGAAUCUUCCAGAGAUGGAGGAGUGCCUUUCGGGGAACUUGAAAACAGGUGCUGCACGGCUGUCGUCAGCUCGUGUCGUGAGAUGUUGGGUUAAGUCCCGCAACGAGCGCAACCCUCGUCAUUAGUUACUAACAGUUCGGCUGAGGACUCUAAUGAGACUGUCUUCGUAAGGAGGAGGAAGGUGAGGACGACGUCAAGUCAUCAUGGCCCUUACGGCUAGGGCGACACACGUGCUACAAUGGUUAGGACAAUGAGAAGCGAUACCGCGAGGUGGAGCAAAUCUAUAAACCUAAUCUCAGUUCGGAUUGUAGUCUGCAACUCGACUACAUGAAGCUGGAAUCACUAGUAAUCGUAGAUCAGCCAUGCUACGGUAAAUACGUUCCCGGGUCUUGUACUCACCGCCCGUCACACCAUGGGAGUUGAUUUCACCCGGAGCGGGGAAGCUAAACUGGCUACCCUCCACGGUGGAAUUAGCGACUGGGGUGAAGUCGUAACAAGGUA